rnacentral:pre_miRNA from 1 species
GUAUGUGGAUGGUGUUCAGGACCAGGGACAGGUAUGUUUAUCGUGUGUGGAUGGUGUUCAGCACCAAGGACAUAUGUGUUUACCU